rnacentral:RNase_P_RNA from 1 species
CAGGCUGGUCGGGCAAUCGCGGUCCUGCGUUGACGGGAUCGAGGAAAGUCCGCACUCCUAUAGAGCACGGCGUCGGAGAGUACCCCGGGGCGGGGAAGCCGCCGAGAGGCGCGAACCUGCCGGAAUUGGGCCACAGAAACAAACAGCCCCGCAUUACGCAGGGUGAUGGUGAAAAGGUGGUGUAAGAGACCACCGGCGCGCGCAGUAAUGCGAGCGGCCAGGUAACCCCCGCCGGGAGCAAGGCCAAGCAGGGACGAUUUCGUCUGUGGACGAUGGGAGGCUGCUCGUCUCCAUACGCACCCUUCCCUCCUGUGGGUUGGGUCAGUCCCGGGUAGGCUGCAUCGAGCGGUGUGGCGACGCACCGCCCAGAGAGAUGAUUGCCCACGUGGAGUGAUCCGCUGGACAGAAUGCGGCUUAUAGACCAGCCUGAAGC